rnacentral:misc_RNA from 1 species
AUGAGAACCAUAAUUAAGUGAUACAAAUGCACUUUCAUAUAGAAGAUAUUCUUCCAUAAGAGUAAAGUAAGAUAAAGGAUACGCCUGAAAGAAAACAAUUCCAGGUAUGUAAAUCUGUUGUUGAGUUGACAACUGAUAAUAACAUCCGAAAGCAUAAGACAAAAUUGUGAAAUUGAUGGGUAAAAGGUUGUAUAAGAAAAUAACAUUCCACAAUGUAACUUCAUGAAAUGUAUAUAAUCAGUCCUAUAAGCAAAGUGUGCCUGUUGCUUGCUACUUGCUAGAAGAAGAGCAUCCAAAAACUUAAAG